rnacentral:rRNA from 1 species
GACGAACGCUGGCGGCGUGCUUAACACAUGCAAGUCGUACGAUGACCCGGCUCUUCGGAGCUGGUGAUUAGUGGCGAACGGGUGAGUAACACGUGGGUGACCUGCCCUGCACUCUGGGAUAAGCCCGGGAAACUGGGUCUAAUACUGGAUACGACCAGUGGCCGCAUGGUCUGCUGGUGGAAAGCCCUUCGGGGUGGUGUGGGAUGGGCCCGCGGCCUAUCAGCUUGUUGGUGGGGUGAUGGCCUACCAAGGCGACGACGGGUAGCCGGCCUGAGAGGGUGUCCCGGCACCCUGGGACCGGGACACCGGCCAGGACCCCACGGGAAGCAGGCGUGGGGAAUCUUGCACAAUGGGCGAAAGCCUGAUGCAGCGACGCCGCGUGAGGGAUGACGGCCUUCGGGUUGUAAACCUCUUUCGGCAGGGAACAAGCCUGGGGGUUUUCUUCUGGGUGAGGGUACCUGCGGAAGAAGCACCGGCUAACUACGUG